CACUCCUACGGGAGGCAGCAGUGGGGAAUAUUGCACAAUGGGCGCAAGCCUGAUGCAGCCAUGCCGCGUGUAUGAAGAAGGCCUUCGGGUUGUAAAGUACUUUCAGCGGGGAGGAAGGCGAUAAGGUUAAUAACCUUGUCGAUUGACGUUACCCGCAGAAGAAGCACCGGCUAACUCCGUGCCAGCAGCCGCGGUAAUACGGAGGGUGCAAGCGUUAAUCGGAAUUACUGGGCGUAAAGCGCACGCAGGCGGUCUGUCAAGUCGGAUGUGAAAUCCCCGGGCUCAACCUGGGAACUGCAUUCGAAACUGGCAGGCUAGAGUCUUGUAGAGGGGGGUAGAAUUCCAGGUGUAGCGGUGAAAUGCGUAGAGAUCUGGAGGAAUACCGGUGGCGAAGGCGGCCCCCUGGACAAAGACUGACGCUCAGGUGCGAAAGCGUGGGGAGCAAACAGGAUUAGAUACCCCAGUAGUCCCAU
rnacentral:rRNA from 1 species